rnacentral:rRNA from 1 species
UACGUAGGGGGCAAGCGUUGUCCGGAAUCAUUGGGCGUAAAGCGCGUGUAGGCGGCUCGGUAAGUCUGCUCUGAAAGUCCAAGGCUCAACCUUGGGAUGCGGGUGGAUACUGCUGGGCUCGAGUCCGGAAGAGGCGAGUGGAAUUCCUGGUGUAGCGGUGAAAUGCGCAGAUAUCAGGAGGAACACCAAUGGCGAAGGCAGCUCGCUGGGACGUGACUGACGCUGAGACGCGAAAGCGUGGGGAGCAAACAGG